UUCAUUAUUUGCUUGCUGAAAUAGAAAGAAAAAUACAAAAGAUAUGAAUAAUAGAGGUGAUGAUAGGAAAUGCCUAAAGUACCCUUGCUUAUAUAGUUGUUUUUGUAAGGUUGCUCGGCCAUUCCACCACAAGCAUUGUCUAGGGCAAAUCCUGUUACUGUUGACUAGAUUUGCUCUUAUCGCUCUCAUCAUUAGAGCUAUGCAGGUAUUUUCUUUGCAUGAUUAGUUUCUUCCCAAAAGUGUAACAAUCAUGCAAUUUGGAGUUGGUUCGAUCCUCCACAACUCGACUACUUCCAUGAUGAAUCUUGCAAGAUCGAGAAUGAGUAGGUAAAUUUGCCAAUCUUUUGCCUUAAUUUUUUGUGAGUUCUAAAUUGGAUUAAAAUUAUUGUUGAAAAAUUGAUGUUGUUGAGAUAUUGUGCCUAAUAUAAGCCUAAUUUUGAUACAUAUAGAUUGGUUCAUUAUGUCCACACCAACUAUUUUGUGACUCAAACAAAUUUGUUUAAGAAAUUUUAAUGUUUUGGGCAUAUUAAAGGUUAUUUAUCUAAUGAAAUGAACCUUUAAUUGAUAUAAGAAAUUUUCGUGUUUUGAGCAUAUUAAAGAUUGUAAAUUGGUUUUAUUUAAAUUAUGAUUAAUCUGAAAUUUUGGUAGAGCUUGGGAAAUAUUGAUGGAGUUUUGCAUACCUUGCAACGUAUCCUAUUUGAUUACAAUUUUGAUAGAUUUUUCUAACUCCAAACUUUGUAAAAAUUUGCCAUGUUAUAUAAUGGAUUGUGUACACUAUCUUUAUUUAUUCAACUAGCCUAUAUUUUGUUAUAUGAAAACCACUUUCUCUAGUGUUUAUUCUUGCAAUUUUGAGUGUUUGCCCCAGUGGGAGAAAUAAUGUAUUAUGGGCUUCACACUCAUCAAUUUUAUCGGAUGUCUUUAAUGGUCAUAGUUUUGGUAGAUAAAACGUACAUUAUCAUACUUGUUUAUAUUUUAUUUGUUAUAUAUGCAACUAAUCUUGUAGGAAAUUCAAGAAGGGUUAAUGAGUAUAUUUUGCUCAAAAGUGUUUUGCUUAUUAAUUCUUGUAUGUUGUUCAAGAAAUUGGACUUGUGAUUUAUAUGUUAUUCACGCUCAUCAAUUUUAUUGGAUGUCUUUAAUGGUCAUAGUUUUGGUACAUAAAACGUGCAUUAUCAUACUUGUUUAUAUUUUAUUUGUUAUAUAUGCAACUAAUUUUGUAGGAAAUUCAAGAAGGGUUAAUGAGUAUAUUCUGCUCAAAAGUGUUUUGCUUAUUAAUUCUUGUAUGUUGUUCAAGAAAUUGGACUUGUAAUUUAUAUGUUAUUGAUGGAUAAUUAAUCUGCUCAAAACUGUUUUCUUAUUCAAUACAACUAUAAAUCAAUGUAUAAUGAAGCAUAGAAUUGACAAGAUGGUAUAUACUUCAUCUGCUCAAAAGUGUUGAAGUUACAUACGUUUGCCCUUGUAUUUUAUGUUUUGGCUAUGCAAACCUAAUAUAAUUAGUUUCCGUCCAAAGAUGAUUCUAGAAUUAUGUGCUUUUGAUGCAUUAGAAAACAUUUAGUUAAAGUAUUCUAUUUCUGUCAAAUGUUAGAUGAACAAAAUUGACCAAAUGAUUUUGUAUAUUUUUUCAGUCACAAGAGUCACUUCCCUACAGAUAUCUAGAAUAAAGAUGUUGAGGUCAUAAAUUUUAUGUUCUAGAUCCCAUGACUAAUGUUUUACUAAUGGGAGUAUUUGAAAGGUAUCUGUUUCGUUUAGUGGGAGUGUUCAAGAGGCAUGUGUUCAAUAUGGGAGUUCAAGAAACAUUUGAUUCAGUUAAUGAGUGGGAGUAGACAUUCAUCAGUCGGUUUUGUUCUCUACUCAAACUUUUAAAUAAGCUAGUUUUCCCUUAUGUUCAUUUAAUUGUUGUUCUUGUAAUGUUCCAUUGACUAUUGAAGUUUGUUUGACAGAAUAAUUAUACGAGUAAAAAUGGAGUAUAAUUCAGUUAA